rnacentral:rRNA from 1 species
CGGAAGUGGGACCGAGCAACUCCGGGUGAGUGAAGAAGCUUUUCGGCUGGUAAAGCUGUGUUGUAAGAGAAGGACGAGUGUGAGAGUGGAAAGUUCACACUGUGACGGUAUAAUACCAGCAAGGGACGGCUAACUACGUGCCAGCAACCGCGGUAAUACGUAGGUCCCGAGCGUUGUCCGGAUUUAUUGGGCGUAAAGCGAGCGCAGGCGGUUAGAUAAGUCUGAAGUUAAAGGCUGUGGCUUAACCAUAGUACGCUUUGGAAACUGUUUAACUUGAGUGCAAGAGGGGAGAGUGGAAUUCCAUGUGUAGCGGUGCCAUGCGUAGAUAUAUGGAGGAACACCGGUGGCGAAAGCGGCUCUCUGGCUUGUAACUGACGCUGAGGCUCGAAAGCGUGGGGAGCA